rnacentral:tRNA from 2 species
CCCUGCUUAGUUCAGCUUGGUCCGGAACACCCGCCUGUAGAGCGGGAUGCCCCUGGUUCAAAUCCAGGAGCAGGGA